rnacentral:rRNA from 1 species
UACGUAGGGGGCGAGCGUUGUCCGGAGUUACUGGGCGUAAAGGGCAUGCAGGCGGUCGGACGCGUUUGGGGUGACAGCGGGUGGCUUAACUACCCGAGUGGUCGAAAGACGGUUUGACUUGAGGACGCGAGAGGGACACGGAAUUCCGGGUGGAGUGGUGAAAUUCGUAGAUAUUGGGAAGAACACCGGUGGCGAAGGCGGCGACCUGGUCCGGGACUGACGCUGAGGCGCGAAAGCGUGGGGAGCAAACAGG